rnacentral:misc_RNA from 1 species
UCCGGUUUGUCACCGGCAGUCUCCCAUGAGUCCCCAACUGAAUGCUGGCAACAUGGAACGGGGGUUGCGCUCGUUGCGGGACUUAACCCAACAUCUCACGACACGAGCUGACGACAACCAUGCACCACCUGUCACCGCUGUCCCCGAAGGGAAAGCCUUGUCUCCAAGACGAUCAGCGGGAUGUCAAGACCUGGUAAGGUUCUUCGCGUUGCUUCGAAUUAAACCACAUGCUCCACCGCUUGUGCGGGCCCCCGUCAAUUUCUUUGAGUUUUAACCUUGCGGCCGUACUCCCCAGGCGGAUGACUUAACGCGUUAGCUGCGCCACCGAAACGCCAAGCGCCCCGACAGCUAGUCAUCAUCGUUUACGGCGUGGACUAC